rnacentral:rRNA from 1 species
AUACGGAGGGUCCGAGCGUUAUCCGGAAUCAUUGGGUUGAAAGGGUCCGUAGGCGGAAAUCUAAGUCAGUGGUGAAACCUUGCAGCUCAACUGUAAAACUGCCAUUGAUACUGGAUUUCUUGAAUUAGUGUGAAGUGGUUAGAAUGUGUAGUGUAGCGGUGAAAUGCAUAGAUAUUACACAGAAUACCAAUUGCGAAGGCAGAUCACUAACACUAUAUUGACGCUGAGGGACGAAAGCGUGGGGAGCGAACAGGAUUAGAAACCCCAGUAGUCC